UCGUGCUAGACGGGGAGCUAGCGGUGCCCUGUACCCGCAAUCCGCUAUAGCGGGGUCGAAUUCCCACCCGAGGUGCCGUCCCCUCGGGACUGACUCACGGCAGAGGGCGUUGAUGGCUGGGUCCCGCGCAACGGUGGCCCACGAACCCCGCCAGGUCCGGAAGGAAGCAACGGUAAGUGGUAUCCAUCGGGUGCCGCGAGAUAGCCUGGCCGGAGCUUGAUGCUGUGGGUGCCGCCGGAAGGGCUGUAUCGACGGUGGGUGCACGA
rnacentral:SRP_RNA from 1 species